GGGCGGCAGUUGAAGGUAAUAUACCGGACCGCAAGUGCUCUAUAUGGCGGAGUAAAAGCCGAUGUGAGGUUCUGGAACGGUUAUGCGAGCUCUAUCACGGCAGUGAGGAUUGGCCCCAUGGGAUCGGCGGUAGAUUAGGCGCCUUCUGAAGGGAAGUCGUCACUAUCUUCUAAUGGGCAAACCCAGCGAGGCCAGGGAUGGAGCAGCGUAAGUCCUAACGUUUGGUGCUCAUAGGAUACUGGUCUGAGACCAGAUAGAGAAAUCGGUAAUCGGAAAGGUGUCGAGCAUCGGGUCUAUCACCC
rnacentral:SRP_RNA from 1 species